rnacentral:rRNA from 1 species
GCUGGCGGUAGGCUUAACACAUGCAAGUCGUGCGAGAAAGUACCUUCGGGUGCGAGUAGAGCGGCGGACGGGUGAGUAACGCGUAGGAAUCUACCUAGUAGAAGGGGAUAGCCCGAGGAAACUCGGAUUAAUACCGUAUACCUCCUUAGGGAGAAAGAGGGCUUAGCUUUGAUGCUCUCGCUAUUAGAUGAGCCUGCGUAAGAUUAGCUUGUUGGUGAGGUAAUGGCUCACCAAGGCGACGAUCUUUAGCUGGUCUGAGAGGACGAUCAGCCACAUUGGGACUGAGACACGGCCCAGACUCCUACGGGAGGCAGCAGUGGGGAAUAUUGGACAAUGGGCGCAAGCCUGAUCCAGCCAUACCGCGUGUGUGAAGAAGGCUUUCGGGUUGUAAAGCACUUUAAGUAAGGAGAAAAAGAUUGUAGUUAAUACCUGCAAUCCUUGAUGUUACUUACAGAAUAAGGACCGGCUAAUUCCGUGCCAGCAGCCGCGGUAAUACGGAAGGUCCAAGCGUUAAUCGGAAUUACUGGGCGUAAAGCGCGCGUAGGUGGUUUUUUAAGUUGGAUGUGAAAGCCCUGGGCUCAACCUAGGAACUGCAUCCAAAACUAGAUGACUAGAGUACGAAAGAGGGAAGUAGAAUUCACAGUGUAGCGGUGGAAUGCGUAGAUAUUGUGAAGAAUACCAAUGGCGAAGGCAGCUUCCUGGUUCUGUACUGACACUAAGGUGCGAAAGCGUGGGUAGCGAACAGGAUUAGAUACCCUGGUAGUCCACGCCGUAAACGAUGACAACUAGCUGUUGGGAGACAAGAUCUCUCAGUGGCGCAGCUAACGCUUUAAGUUGUCCGCCUGGGGAGUACGGCCGC